AAUUAGAAUCUCAGAAAGUGUGUGUGUUUGGUGGCUGAGAAAAUGGCAACAAUUUCUCACAACUUUCUAGUUCAAUCUGACACGGGAUCUUUCUCCACUGUGAUUCUCUCCCCUUCUUAUUUUCCUUCUUCUCCAAUUUUCCGCCAAUUCGCCCGUUUCCCUCGCAUUUCCACUUCGCCUUUUCCUCUGAAAAUCGCAUGCCGCGCCUCUUCCGUUGAACCAUCUUCCGUCACCGCAAAAACUGAGGUGAAGGAUUUUCUUCACAUAAAUGAUUUCGACAAGGACACUAUCACGAAGAUCUUAAAUCGGGCCAUUGAAGUGAAGGCACAGAUAAAAUCAGGGGACAGGACAUUUAAACCAUUUCAAGGGAUGACAUUGGCGAUGGUGUUUGCAAAGCCAUCAUUGAGAACUCAUGUUUCAUUUGAGACUGGCUUUUCAUUGUUAGGUGGUCAUGCUGUGUAUUUAGCACCUGAAGAUAUCCAAAUGGGCACCAGAGAGGAGACUCGUGAUGUUGCUCGCAUUUUGUCUCGCUUCACUGACAUUAUUAUGGCUCGUGUUUUCACACAUGAGGACAUACUCACUCUUUCAAAGCAUGCAACUGUGCCAGUCAUCAAUGGAUUGACAGACUACAACCAUCCCUGCCAGAUAAUGGCUGAUGCCAUCACUCUAAUUGAGCACCUUGGUCGGGUGGAAGGCAACAAGGUUGCAUAUGUUGGAGAUGGAAAUAAUGUUGUCCACUCAUGGUUGGAGUUGGCAAGUUUAUUCCCUAUUCACUUUGUUUGUGCGAGUCCAAAGGGUUUUGAGCCUGAUGCCAAAACAGUGGAGAAGGCACGCCAGGUUGGAAUCAGCAAGAUUGAGAUAACUAAUGAUCCCAGAGAAGCUGUCAAAGGAGCUGACAUUGUUUAUACGGAUGUUUGGGCUAGCAUGGGGCAAAAGGAAGAGGCUGAGAAGCGCCGUGAAGCCUUCAAAGGAUUUCAGGUGGACCAAAGUCUUAUGGAUAUAGCUGGGUCAAAAGCACUUUUCAUGCAUUGUUUACCAGCAGAAAAAGGAGUGGAGGUGACUGAGGAAGUUAUUGAAGGUCCAAAGUCAAUCAUCUUCCCGCAAGCUGAGAAUCGAUUACAUGCACAGAAUGGCAUAAUGCUCCAUGUCCUUGGCAAGUAAGCAUUGUGGGCGAUCGAUCAUCUUGGCAGAGAAGAAUAAAACCCUUGUUUGUUUGGUUUUACUUUUUUAGCUACACUAUCAGUUGUUAUUUGUGGGAUCACCUGUCAAGCAUGUUUUGGGAUCAUGUCUUCAGAUUGGGUCUGUAUCAGUCUGAGUUUCAUUAAUAAACUAAUUGGACGUGCCAGAAGAUUUAUUCUCAUGUGGUGAGAUUUAUUAUUUACCAAAAAGAGAUGAGAAGUAAUAAUCUUGCCCCUACAAUCACACAUAAAUGACUAAAAAUAAUUCAUCUUACAGAAAGUUGGGCAAUUUAGAAAUUCAGUCAUGGAAGUUUGUUUACUAUGUGAAAUUGAUGAUUCAGAUUCA